rnacentral:rRNA from 1 species
GUGCCAGCCGCCGCGGUAAUUCCAGCUCUGCAAGUUUGCUCCCAUAUUGUUGCAGUUAAAACGCCCGUAGUCUGAAUUUUCUUGAAAAAGAAUUAUUCCUUUUGGAGUUCACUGUGAACAAAACAGGACGCUUAGAGUAGGGUUUACUUGAAUGAUUUAGCGCAGUAUGAAAUUUUUACUUUUUUUGUAAGAUCAAUGAGGGCCAUCGGGGAUAAAUCUAUUACAUGGCGAGCGGUGGAAUGCUCUGACCCAUGUGAGAGAAACGAAAGCGAAGGCAUUUAUCUAGAGGGUUUCUGUCGAUCAAGGGCGAGAGUAGGAGUAUCCAACCGGAUUAGAGACCCGGGUAGUUCCUACCUUAAACGAUGCCGACAGGGGCUAGUUAUUUUAGAAUAGCUGGACCUUAGGAGAAAUCAUAGUUCUUGGGCUCUGGGGGAACUACGACCGCAAGGCUGAAACUUGAAGGAAUUGACGGAAGGGCACACCAGGGGUGGAGCCUGUGGCUUAAUUUGAAUCAACACGGGGAAACUUACCAGGACCAGAUGUUUUUUGUGACUGACAGGCUUUGGGUCUUUCAGGAUAUGACUUUUGGUGGUGCAUGGCCGUUGGUGGUGCGUGGGUUGACCUGUCUAGCGUUGAUUCAGCUAACGAGCGAGAUUAUCGCCAAUUAACUAGAAUGAAUUGCUUUUCAAUUUAUUUCUUCUAAUUGGGACUCCCUGCGAUUAAGCAGGAGGAAGAGGGUAGCAAUAACAGGUCCGUGAUGUCCUUUAGAUGCUCUGGGCUGCACGCGUGCUACAAUGUUAGUCUCAAUCGGAUUGCUAUCCUGAAAAGGUUAGCUACUCUGUGAAUGUCUAACGUAGUUGGGAUUGAUGAUUGUAAUCAUCAUCAUGAACCAGGAAUCCCUUGUAAAUGUGUGUCAUCAGCGCACGUUGAAUACGUCCCUGCCCUUUGUACACACCGCCCGU